GUGCUCUUGGCCGAGCGGUUAGGUUCCAGAUUUCCAAUCUGGCCAGGCGGGUUCGACUCCCGCAGAGCACU
rnacentral:tRNA from 2 species